rnacentral:rRNA from 1 species
CCUACGGGGGGCAGCAGUGAGGAAUAUUGGUCAAUGGACGAGAGUCUGAACCAGCCAAGUAGCGUGAAGGAUGACUGCCCUAUGGGUUGUAAACUUCUUUUAUAUGGGAAUAAAAUGUUCCACGUGUGGGAUUUUGUAUGUACCAUAUGAAUAAGGAUCGGCUAACUCCGUGCCAGCAGCCGCGGUAAUACGGAGGAUCCGAGCGUUAUCCGGAUUUAUUGGGUUUAAAGGGAGCGUAGGUGGAUUGUUAAGUCAGUUGUGAAAGUUUGCGGCUCAACCGUAAAAUUGCAGUUGAAACUGGCAGUCUUGAGUACAGUAGAGGUGGGCGGAAUUCGUGGUGUAGCGGUGAAAUGCUUAGAUAUCACGAAGAACUCCGAUUGCGAAGGCAGUUCACUGGACUGCAACUGACACUGAGGCUCGAAAGUGUGGGUAUCAAACAGGAUUAGAUACCCGAGUAUC